AAUCUGUGUCUCGCGCCGCCGGUGCAUCGCUCGCGGUGUUUAACUGGCGUGUCCGCGAGACGUCCUGCCGGUGGGCUUAGCCCGGCAACGGGCGGCCCAACUUGAAAUCCCACCGCGGUGCUCUUGACUGAGUGUCGAGGUGGGCCGGCACGUUUACUUUGAACAAAUUAGAGUGCUUAAAGCAGGCUAAAACUUCGCCUGAAUACUGUGUGCAUGGAAUAAUGGAAUAGGACCUCGGUUCUAUUUUGUUGGUUUUCGGAACCCCGAGGUAAUGAUUAAUAGGAACGGAUGGGGGCAUUCNUAUUGCGACGUUAGAGGUGAAAUUCUUGGAUCGUCGCAAGACGGACAGAAGCGAAAGCAUUUGCCAAAAACGCUUUCAUUGAUCAAGAACGAAAGUUAGAGGUUCGAAGGCGAUCAGAUACCGCCCUAGUUCUAACCAUAAACGAUGCCAGCUAGCGAUCCGCCCACGUUCCUCCGAUGACUCGGCGGGCAGCUUCCGGGAAACCAAAGCUUUUGGGUUCCGGGG
rnacentral:rRNA from 1 species